rnacentral:rRNA from 1 species
CCUACGGGUGGCAGCAGUGAGGAAUAUUGGUCAAUGGACGAGAGUCUGAACCAGCCAAGUAGCGUGAAGGAUGACUGCCCUAUGGGUUGUAAACUUCUUUUAUAUGGGAAUAAAACAGGGUAUGCAUACCCUCUUGUAUGUACCAUAUGAAUAAGGAUCGGCUAACUCCGUGCCAGCAGCCGCGGGAAUCCGGAGGAACCGAGCGUUAUCCGGAUUUAUUGGGUUUAAAGGGAGCGUAGGGGGAUUGGUAAGGCAGGUGGGAAAGUUUGCGGCUCAACCGUAAAAUUGCAGUUGAAACUGGCGUUCGUGAGUACAGUAGAGGUGGGCGGAAUUCGUGGUGUAGCGGUGAAAUGCUUAGAUAUCACGAAGAACUCCGAUUGCGAAGGCAGCUCACUGGACUGCAACUGACACUGAUGCUCGAAAGUGUGGGUAUCAAACAGGAUUAGAUACCCUGGUAGUC